AGUUGUGGACUGAACGAGCCCAGUGAUAUCGUGGCCCAAAAUAAGGCCCGAUCCUCUUCACCCUUCACCCUCAAGAUUUCUCGAGUGAAACCGAAUCAGUCAUUCACACAGAAAAAUUCUAUGCUUCCAAGGCAUUCGAUGAACUAUCAAUCAAUCCAGCAUUCAAAACCCUAGUCGCCAUUGAUCCCGCGCUCUGCGAUGCUCAUUCAAAGAGGUAGAUCUGCUGGAGGAGCCUCUAGUGUCUGCAAUAUCCCAACUCCAUCUUCUACAAGGAAACUCAUAGCCAAUCCCCAGGUACGCUAGCUGUAUUCCUCAUUGGUGGAUCAACAAGGUUGAAUUUCGCUGUAUCAGUCUGAGGAUUGAAGUUUCCAAAUCCCUCAGCAACAAUGUAGAAGUCAUAUCCAUGAAGAUGAAUUGGGUGGUUCUCAGCCGU